UACAGAGGUCCCAAGCGUUGUUCGGAUUCAUUGGGCGUAAAGGGUGCGUAGGUGGCGCUGUAAGUCGGGUGUGAAAUUUCGGAGCUUAACUCCGAAACUGCAUUCGAUACUGCGGUGCUUGAGGACUGGAGAGGAGACUGGAAUUCAUGGUGUGGCAGUGAAAUGCGUAGAGAUCAUGAGGAAGACCAGUGGCGAAGGCGGGUCUCUGGACAGUUCCUGACACUGAGGCACGAAGGCCAGGGGAGCAAACGGG
rnacentral:rRNA from 1 species